AUAAUAUGUAUACAUAUUGCGCGUCUUGUAGCUGUUGAGUCCCGUUGAGAAGUGAAGGUGGUUCUGUAUUUUUUAUGCGUCGCGGAGUUAGCACCGUUCCGCCAGUUUGC